AGCUCUGUGGUGUUAUAAUACAUACCGAAUUGCAAAUUCGGGGAAGCAGUGUUAACCCUGCCAGGGCUU
rnacentral:tRNA from 1 species